rnacentral:rRNA from 1 species
GAUUAACGCUGGCGGCGUGCAUAACACAUGCAAGUCGAACGAUGGAACUUGGAGAAUUCUUUCGAAAAGAAACAAGGGGAAUUAGUGCCGAAGGGGGAAGUAAGCCGGAAUUAACCGCCCUUAAACAAGGGAAUAGCCUUUGGAACGGAAGAAUAUAACCCAUUAAAACAAAAAAACAAAAUGCUGGAAGGGUAAAGUGAUAGCGGGGUAAGAUGGACUUUCGUCUGAUUAGCUAGUUGGUGGGAUAAAAGCUCACCAAGGCAACGAUCAGUAGCCGGCUUGAGAGAGUGUACGGCCACAUUGGGACUGAGACACGGCCCAGACUCCUACGGGAGGCAGCAGUGGGGAAUUUUGCACAAUGGGGGAAACCCUGAUGCAGCGACGCCGCGUGAUUUAGAAGGCCUUCGGGUUGUAAAAAUCUUUUGUAUAGGAAGAAAAUGACAGUACUAUACGAAUAAGGUCCGGCUAAUUACGUG